rnacentral:rRNA from 1 species
GCUAAAUGCGCGUCCAAUGUGAACUGCAGGACACAUGAAACACCGAUAAGUUGAACGCAUAUUGCGCAUCGUGCGACACAGCUCGAUGUACACAUUUUUGAGUGCCCAUAUUUGAU